AUGCUGGGCACAGACCUAUACCCAAAUAACAUCUGGCAAUAUUUCUCCUGGUGCUAUGUUUUUCUACCUGAUGGAGCCAGGUUCUAUACCUUUUGACCGGCAGCCAUAUGCUAGGCUAUUUGGAAUAGCCGUAACCAGGCUACUUUUGAACAUAAACAAGUUAAAACACAAUUUAAUAUGGUAUACUCUGCCUAUGGCUUUUUGACAUACUGGGCAGGCUUGAUGACUGGUGCUGAUCGGGAGGCAAUGGAGCGUGGUGCCAAGAUGCUCAAGACGAACGCCUCAGCAAUGAUGAGGAUUUGCGCAGCUCCAGCCAGGGCGAUGAUGGAUUAA
rnacentral:rRNA from 1 species